rnacentral:tRNA from 1 species
AGCCCCGUGGUUUUACACGUUGGAUUGCAAGUCCAAAAACGCCCCAUUACGGUGCCGGGGCU